rnacentral:rRNA from 1 species
AGAGUUUGAUCCUGGCUCAGGACGAACGCUGGCGGCGUGCUUAACACAUGCAAGUCGAACGGUGAACUCCGCUUGCGGGGGAUCAGUGGCGAACGGGUGAGUAACACGUGGGCAACCUGCCCUCAGCUCUGGGAUAACUCCAAGAAAUUGGGGCUAAUACCGGAUAUGACUCUGACCGCAUGGUCUGGUGGUGGAAAGAUUUAUCGGCUGGGGAUGGGCCCGCGGCCUAUCAGCUUGUUGGUGGGGUAGUGGCCUACCAAGGCGACGACGGGUAGCCGGCCUGAGAGGGUGACCGGCCACACUGGGACUGAGACACGGCCCAGACUCCUACGGGAGGCAGCAGUGGGGAAUAUUGCGCAAUGGGCGAAAGCCUGACGCAGCGACGCCGCGUGGGGGAUGACGGCCUUCGGGUUGUAAACCUCUUUCAGCAGGGACGAAGCGAAAGUGACGGUACCUGCAGAAGAAGCACCGGCCAACUACGUGCCAGCAGCCGCGGUAAUACGUAGGGUGCAAGCGUUGUCCGGAAUUAUUGGGCGUAAAGAGCUCGUAGGCGGUUUGUUGCGUCGGCUGUGAAAUCCCGAGGCUCAACCUCGGGUCUGCAGUCGAUACGAGCAAACUAGAGUGUUGCAGGGGAGACUGGAAUUCCUGGUGUAGCGGUGAAAUGCGCAGAUAUCAGGAGGAACACCGGUGGCGAAGGCGGGUCUCUGGGCAACAACUGACGCUGAGGAGCGAAAGCGUGGGGAGCGAACAGGAUUAGAUACCCUAGUAGUCC